GUCUAUGGCCAUGCUACCCUGAACAAGCCCGAUCCCAUCUGAUCUCGGAAGCUAAGCAGGGUGGGGCCUGGUUAGUACUUGGAUGAGAGACCACCUAGGAAGACCAGGUGCUGUAGGCG
rnacentral:rRNA from 1 species